rfam:Aedes albopictus isolate Foshan contig48293, whole genome shotgun sequence.
UUAUGCGCGGUCCCACGUAUGCCACUGCAUUUUUAUAUAUAUAGAUAUCUAUAUAUAUAAAAAUGUAGUGGCAUACGUGGGACCGCGCAUAA